rnacentral:ncRNA from 14 species
GCGUAGCGCAGCCUGGUAGCGCAUCUGGUUUGGGACCAGAGGGUCGUAGGUUCGAAUCCUAUCGC